rnacentral:rRNA from 1 species
UGGGGAAUAUUGCACAAUGGGCGAAAGCCUGAUGCAGCGACGCCGCGUGAGGGAUGACGGCCUUCGGGUUGUAAACCUCUUUCAGCAGGGACGAAGCGCAAGUGACGGUACCUGCAGAAGAAGCACCGGCUAACUACGUGCCAGCAGCCGCGGUAAUACGUAGGGUGCAAGCGUUGUCCGGAAUUACUGGGCGUAAAGAGUUCGUAGGCGGUUUGUCGCGUCGUUUGUGAAAACCAGCAGCUAAACUGCUGGCUUGCAGGCGAUACGGGCAGACUUGACUACUGCAGGCGAGACUGGAAUUCCUGGGGUAGCGUUGAAAUGCGCAGAUAUCAGGAGGAACACCGGUGGCGAAGGCGGGUCUCUGGGCAGUAACUGACGCUGAGGAACGAAAGCGUGGGUAGCGAACAGG